GAAGCGCAGCAACCUACCUUCCGGUCUGUGUGAGCAGAGAUUCCUGGGACAAGACGGAUAGCCUUUUAUUAUGUGUUUUAAUUGUCACCUCAAGGGCAUAUUUAAUGAAUAAUGCAUGUUAUAAUAUUGUAGGCUACUGAUUUGAGUUAUGGUCUAAUUUGCUGACAGUUCUAAACAACCGACAGUGCUUUUCUCUCAGUGACUUUGAGAGGAAGCUCUCAACGGAGAUUGUAAUAUUACAAAAAAAAGCUUCUAUUUACCUGAAAGGUGUUUGUUUGAUGUCCUUUAUAAUUCGAGAUUAGCCUCACAUUAGAAACCUCACAGGCAUCGGUUUCUCGGCAUCAGGUGAAUUUCAACAAACAACAGCGCCUCCAAGCGAUGGAGUGAUUUGUGUUUCAUUCAUCAAUCAGCACGUCAUGGCAGGAGGAUGAUGGGUGUGGGACUAUACCACUCUUCCUCUUCCUCCUUGACCUUACGCACUAAACAAACACAUCUAUUACUUAAAAUCAGCGCUUGUGCGUUUGCAUCAGAGAGGAGGACAGAGCAACAUUAUUCUGCAAAAUGAUGUCUGGAAUGAGAUGGGCCUUGGCGUGUUUGAUUUUGUGCAGUGACUAUCAAACUCUUUAAAAGAUUUAAACCUCACUCAUCCCUCCCAAAUCCCACCUCACACUACUCAGCGUGGAAUAACGGUGUUGUUCAAAUAUGAUGUGAGAACAAUGAGAUUGAAGUCAAAGUUUACUGACACUAAGCCGGACCAAUUCUCUGUUAAAUGGGCUAUUACACUCACAACAGCCAGCGAGUGUUUGACCGGGUAAGACUUCAUUACAGAUUUCAUUCUCGCCCAAGGUGUAGGAUCUGUAUAGCUGUCAUUGAUUGCAUGAAUGUGCGGGUUAAUUGGCUUUUGGAGUGGGUUCUCUGUGAUUUCGCUCGGCAUAAGUGAGAUGUUGAUGAAUAGCGAAUCCUCUUUUGGAUGCAUGCUUGUGUAGGAUUGAGAGUUGAGGUGAGGGUGUGGGUGUUCUUGAAUAUGACUGUUGCACCAUUGUGAUUCCUACUGAGCGACCCUGAACAUCCAACAAUUAGUUUAAAUCGUGUGGAUCAAUAAUGGAUGAAACCAAUGUUUAACAUUUACUUCAAGGGCAGCUGCUGUCUUACAACAUGCUUCUAUUACUUUUAGAUAAAAAUGGUAAGUUUUUAUACCAGGUGAUUUUACACUUUCCCUUUCAAGUGGUCUUUGUUAUUUAAAAAGUUUUUUUGUUUAGUUUUUUUGCUCUGUAAAUCUAACAAUGUAGCAGCUCUGUGAUGUUUAGGGUUUAAAUGAAUAGGUCACUUAUACAUGAAAACUGGCUGAAAAUUAACACCCUCAGGCCAUCCAAGAGGUAGAUUUGUUUCUUCAUCUGAACAGAUUUGGAGAAAUUUAGCAUUACAUCACCUGCUCACCACCAUGGAUCCUUUUGCGGUGAAUGGGUCCAUUUACCGAUGGACUCCAGUCCAUUGGUAAAUAUCUUGUGAAGUGAAAAGUUGUGUGUUUGCAAGAAACAAAUCCAUCAUUAAGACGUUUUUACCUUCAUACUGUUUCAGGCUAAAAUACAAGUCCAUUUCAUUCUCCAAUGAAAAAGUAGUUUUGUCUGAAUCAGGGGAGAAACAUGCACAGAUCAAGCAUUAUUUGCAAGUGAAAAUGGUUCAAAACAGCUCUAACGGACUUGUCGUUUGGCCAAAGUGGUUUAAAGAAAAUACCUUAAUGACGGACACUUCUUGUGGAUUAUUGUGGUGUUCUUAUCAUUUGUUUGAACUCUCAUUCUGGCACCCCAUUCACUUCAAAGGAUUCAUUGAUGAGCAAGUGAUGUAAUGUUACAUUUCUCCAAAUCUAUUCUGAUGAAGAAGCAAACGUGCUGGACGGCCUGACAGUGAGUGAAUUUUCAGCAAUUUUUCAUUUUUGGGGUGAACUAUUCCUUUAAGGGUAGUUGUAGGCCUAUAAAAAUCAUUGUGUUUAUGAGAGGUCUGUACUGAAAUAGCUUCUUUGUGUGUGUUGGUCCAUUUUUUUUAUGUUAUUCUGUAAUGAAGUGACAAUAAAUAUAUAGUAGCCGCCACAGCUGUAAUAAA